rnacentral:rRNA from 1 species
UUACGAACAGCUGGCGGGUGCUUACAAAUGCAAGUCCUACGGAGUUUAAGAAAGAAGCUUGCUUUCAUUUUAAACUUAGUGGCGGACGGGUGAGUAACGCGUGAGGAACCUGCCCUUCAGUGGGGAACAACAACUGGAAACGGUUGCUAAUACCGCAUAAUGUCGGAUUGCCGCAUGACAAACCGACCAAAGGAUUUAUUCGCUGAAGGAUGGCCUCGCGUCCGAUUAGGUAGUUGGUGAGGUAACGGCCCACCAAGCAGACGAUCGGUAGCCGAACUGAGAGGUUGAUCGGCCACAUUGGGACUGAGACACGGCCCAGACUCCUACGGGAGGCAGCAGUGGGGAAUAUUGGGCAAUGGGCGAAAGCCUGACCCAGCAACGCCGCGUGAAGGAUGACGGUCUUCGGAUUGUCAACUUCUUUAAUUGGGGAAGAACAAAAUGACCUACCCAAAGAAUAAGUCACGGCUAACUACGUGCCAGCAGCCGCGGUAAU